rnacentral:lncRNA from 1 species
CACCAUGAUCUCCAUCAUCAUGAUCUCCAUCAACGUGUCGCCAUCGAGGUUGUCGUGCUAUCUAUGCUAUUACUACUAAAGCUACGACCUAGAAAUAUAGUAAACACAUCUGCAAACACAAACAUUAGUUUAAAGACAACCCUAUGGCUCCUGCCAGUUGUCGUAGCAUCGACGUGCAAGUCGAUAUUAACUAUUACAACAUGAUCAUCUCAUAUAUCCAAUAUAUCACAUCACGUC